rnacentral:rRNA from 1 species
AUUGAACGCUGGCCGCAUGCUUUACACAUGCAAGUCGAACGGCAGCGCGGGCUUCGGCCUGGCGGCGAGUGGCGAACGGGUGAGUAAUGCAUCGGAACGUGCCCAGUAGUGGGGGAUAGCCCGGCGAAAGCCGGAUUAAUACCGCAUACGACCUGAGGGUGAAAGCGGGGGACCGAAAGGCCUCGCGCUAUUGGAGCGGCCGAUGUCGGAUUAGCUAGUUGGUGGGGUAAAGGCUUACCAAGGCGACGAUCCGUAGCUGGUCUGAGAGGACGACCAGCCACACUGGGACUGAGACACGGCCCAGACUCCUACGGGAGGCAGCAGUGGGGAAUUUUGGACAAUGGGGGCAACCCUGAUCCAGCCAUGCCGCGUGCGGGAAGAAGGCCUUCGGGUUGUAAACCGCUUUUGUUCGGGAAGAAAUCCUCUGGGCUAAUACCCCGGGGGGAUGACGGUACCGGAAGAAUAAGCACCGGCUAACUACGUG